GAUGAAGAACGUAGCGAAAUGCGAUACUUGGUGUGAAUUGCAGAAUCCCGUGAACCAUCGAGUCUUUGAACGCAAGUUGCGCCCGAAGCCAUUAGGCCGAGGGCACGCCUGCCUGGGCGUCACACGUCGUUGCCCCCCCAUCUACUCCUUCGGGAUUGCGGGGGGCGGAUGAUGGCCUCCCGUGCGCCUCGUCGCGCGGUUGGCAUAAAUGCCAAGUCCUCGGCGACACACGCCACGCCAAUCGGUGGUUGCGAAACCUCGGUUGCCCGUCGUGUGCGGUCGUCGCGCAUCGAGGGCUCGAAAAAAUUGCCGGGCUCCGGCUCGGCUUUCAACGCGACCCCAGGUCAGGCGGGGUUACCCGCUGAAUUUAAGCAUAUCAAUAAGCGGAGGA
rnacentral:misc_RNA from 1 species